GGGUCAGUGGUAGAAUGUUUGCCUGCUUGCGACGCGGGCGGCCCGGGUUCGAUUCCCGGCUGAUCCA